GAUGAAGAACGUAGCGAAAUGCGAUAAGUAAUGCGAAUUGCAGAAUUUCCGUGAGUCAUCGAAUCUUUGAACGCACAUUGCGCCCGCUAGUAUUCUGGCGGGCAUGCCUGUUCGAGCGUCAUUUCAACCAUCAAGCCCUGUUUAGGCUUGUGUUGGGGCCCUGUGGUUGCCGCAGCCCCCUAAAUGCAGUGGCGGGCUCGUUGUCACUCCGAGCGCAGUAGCGUAUCUCGCUCUGGGCGUGGCGGCGGGUGCUAGCCGUGAAACACCCACUAAGGUUGACCUCGGAUCAGGUAGGAAUACCCGCUGAACUUAAGCAUAUCAAUAAGCGGAGGA
rnacentral:misc_RNA from 1 species